CUUGGAUCUUGUCAGAUGCAUUCUGAGCAACUCUUAUGUCUCACAUCCCAGACACAUCUUCAGCUAAGAUAAAAAUUAUAUGGGGGAGAAUCUGGUACUCUCUAGACCUGAAAUUCUGGGGGCUGUUUUAUUUUUCAUUUCUCUGUGAUUUAUAAAUUUAAAACCUAUACUUUAUUUUUUCUGUGGAACAGUAUAUUGAGCCUUAAAACUAAUAUUAAACUGUCUUAAAAUAAUUUAAAAUAGUAUCUUAUUUGAUCCCACUACAUUCUUGUUGAGAACAUCUUACAAUAUCCAUUUUGUAUAUGAGUAAGCUAAUUCCUUAGAGAUCAAGUAGUCUGUUUAAAGGCUCAUGAAUUUGUUAGUGUCUAAGUCUCCUGACUCUUUGUACAACAUUCUUUGCAUUUUGUGGCACUGCUUUAUUGUUGUUAUUAAAACCCAUCUUUAGGCUUGCAUUCAUCUGCAUUUCUGCACAUCUUCUGAGAUGCUCCAUUUCAAGCCAAUAUUCUGUUUUUAAAAAAUGAUCUUAAGUACAGCUUUAAUCAAACAUUUACAUUGUUAAUACACUUCAAAGUCCAUUUUCUUUCCCUAACUAAAACAUACCCUGAGUGAGUAGAUAUUAGCUAUGCUUCUACUUAGUCAAGGAUACCAAGUGUAAAAGAGCAAUAGAAUUUCAUGUAGCUGGCAGAGGCAAUAGAUUCACGACAUCCUGACAGUCAAAUCUAAGCUCCUAGGUCAACUCUUACAGCUUAAAUGACUUCAGGGGUCAGACAAAAAUAUUAACAAGUGAAGUAUACAAGGGUUGCUGCAAAAUAGGAUCUUAAUAGUAUUCUUUGGACAGAGACACACCUUGAAUAUUAGACACAUAGGAAUAGAUUUCACGAGAUGUGCUGUCACUUUAUUUUCCCUUUUAGGAGGAAGAGAAUAACAAUCAAGCAUGGUAAUGGAUGCUAGUUCUACAAUGUGGCUGUGGAACUAUUCAGUUCAAGAAUAACAUGUUCAUUGACCCCUUUCCCCCAGUAAGAAACAAACUAACAACAACAAGAAGAAAGCUGAAGAAGAAGAAGAAGAAGAAGAAGAAGAAGAAGAAGAAGAAGAAGAAAGAAAGAAGAAAGAAAGAAAGAAAGAAAGAAAGAAAGAAAGAAAGAAAGAAAAGACAAAGAGUAAAAGAAGUUAUUUCCUCCCUUCAUCAAUGAUAAAAUUCACUCAAACAUGAAGAUUCCUUUGUGAACAUUUUGAAUGUAGAUACACACCUAUUAUCAAGAGAACCCAGCUCAGUUCUUGUUUUUAUUUUUAUUUUUUUCAGUUCUUGUUUUUAAUUUCAAGUCAUUAUUGACAAGCAUAUGUAAUCAGUUUAUUAAACUGUGUGAAGGCAAUGGUGUACAGAUAUGAAAUUUAUUUAUUUUAGUUCUCACCCCAUACCUGUCACUAUUCAAAAGUCAUUCCAAGAGUGAAUGCAGUUGACAUCC
rnacentral:lncRNA from 1 species